CCACACCGACCCCAUGGUGUUAGAGCAGCUCACCAGGGAUAAACCCUCACAGACCCCAUGGUGUUAGAGCAGCUCACCAGGGAUGAACCUCACAGACCCCAUGGUGUUAGAGCAGCUCACCAGGGAUAAACCACACAGACCCCAUGGUGUCAGAGAAGCUCACCAGGGAUAAACCACACAGACCCCAUGGUGUCAGAGCAGCUCACCAGGGAUAAACCACACAGACCCCAUGGUGUUAGAGCAGCUCACCAGGGAUAAACCACACAGACCCCAUGGUGUUAGAGCAGCUCACCAGGGAUAAACCACACAGACCCCAUGGUGUUAGAGCAGCUCACCAGGCCUAAUCCACACAGAAUGGCAGUGUUUGAAUAGAAAGACUGGAAACCUGUAGGAGGGGGCGAGGCUUCGUCAUAUAGGUUUAUUUCAUUGGUUUAAACGACUCAAGACCCCGCCUUGAUAUUAAAAAAAAGAGUGAGGGAGGGAGACAGUGACAGAGGAGGAGAGAGGAAACAAGAUCAACCAGUGAAACAGUAAGAUAGUCACCUAUUAAUCGGAGUGAUUUUUCGACCGUGCUUUUUGGACAGGAGCACAACACAUACCAUUCAAACCUGUAGGCUCCUUUCCCUAAUCAUGUGUCUCUAUAUAGGCGCCUACACCGGAAACAGCUGCCUAUCCUAUUAUUCCUAGCACUUGGAUAACUAAGUUUUUGGCAUUUAAAGGUGGAUCAGUGUAAUAGCCUACACGAAAUCUGUAGGGGAAAAACAUUUUUCACAACAAGCGGCUGGAUGAUGCUGCUCAUGUGUGUGUAAAAGUCUGCAUUUUCUUCUGAACUUGCGAUAAACGUCAGCUAUUCAGGUAAGAUUUUUAUAAUACAUAUAUUAGAACUAUCACGUUUGACUUAUAAUAAUCUAUACUAGUGUACAAUUGGUUGCAAUAAACGGGCUAUUUUGAUGUCCGCAUAAACUGUGACCAUUUGUGUUGUGUUCACCUCACUGCGCAACUAAGGAAUGGAAAUGGUCGAGUGAAUUGUAUGCUGAGGACAUAUUUUUGACGGACCACGGCGCAAAGCCAUACCUAGUCCUACUGUUAAAAUAUGUAGCCGAAACCUGAAGAUUUACCUCGUAUUUCACUGCCUCUCGUUCAUCUUCUUUCGACUACUGUAGCCUAUCAAGCCAUGUGGCGAUAACGGUGGACAGAGAGACAAGUGGUUUUUGUUUAACAAAAUGGGAAGUGCGUUUUUAUAUUGGUUUAUAGGAAGUUUCCCCGUUUCAACUGGAAGGCUGUAUGUUGAGUUGCUGAUGUGUACCCGGGUCGGGAAUCAGAUUAUGUUCCCGAGUUGUUGUCAUUUUAUACUGAGUGACAUCGUUUAUUGCGGUGGUCAGUGAAAGAUGGAAUGUAUCAAACCACAUCCGAUUUGGUAUCUUUUCUGCAGCACUACCGCAAGCAUUCUGAAAUCUUUUACAUCUGUGAUUACAAUACAGCACAUCUACUGUUGGGAAGCUUUACCAGACAACCAGGCGUGCUUGACGCCCUACAAACCGAAGGCAACGACCUUUAGCCAGUUUACCUCUUCCGCUUUUGAAGAAUUAACGAGAAAACUGCUUUUAUUCAUAGAUCGUCAUUUUGACAGAUGGCUUCUUUUUCUGUUGUUGUUGUUGGUGAACUUUGAGUAGAUAGUGUAUUUGAUAGAAAAACAUUAUGCAGCUAGUGAUUGUUUGUUUUACCCGAGACAGCAUCAUCAAUAUAUUACAUAUUAUCAAUGAACUGUAGGAGAUACUACUGCUGCUGCUUCGCAGUAGGAGAAAGUCACAACCAACGUCUUUGGAAGUUAUGUGAGUUGAGGAGCUCCCCAGAGAUCUAACCUGUAGUGCCCACAUGUUGAAAAGACCCCCCAUUUCAUAGUGUGGGUGAAUUCCAGUCACAUUCAGGCUUUACAUUACUGGGACCAAUCACAUUCAGGCUUUACAUUACUGGGACCAAUCACAUUCAGGCUUUACAUGACUGGGACCAAUCACAUUCAGGCUUUACAUUACUGGGACCAAUCACAUUCAGGCUUUACAUUACUGGGACCAAUCACAUUCAGGCUUCACAUUACUGGGACCAAUCACAUUCAGGCGUUACAUUAGUGGGACCAAUCACAUUCAGGCUUUACAUUACUGGGACCAAUCACAGUCAGGCUUCACAUUACUGGGACCAAUCACAGUCAGGCUUCACAUUACUGGGACCAAUCACAGUCAGGCUUCACAUUACUGGGACCAAUCACAUUCAGGCUUCACAUUACUGGGACCAAUCACUGCCAUGAACUCAAACAAGACACUUUAUUAUAGCUUUUAUCAGUGGUGCUCCACCUCUCAAUGAGUUAGAGAGCUUGUUUAUGCAGCUGGUUUGAUUUAAGAUAGAGCCUAGUUAAUUAGUCCUUAAUUAACCACAUGAGGACACAGCCUGGAGUAUGGAGACAGUAAAGUAGUUAAUUAGUCCUUCACAUGAACAGCCUGGAGUAUAGAGACAGAGUAAUAGACUGGUAGUGUGGGUCUUUACAGCAUGUCAUUGAUGAAUGUAUGACAGAUGAAUGGAGGACAUCCUUAGAAUGAGUCUCGUUGUGUCCCUACCAGAGGGAGAGAAAGGGCUGGAGGAGGGUACACCCAGACUGACACACCGCAGAUCGCAUGCAAACACACACUCCCCUUGUCUUGCCUGCAGGAAUAAGGACACAAGAUGUGUGUAGCCAGGACAUCUGCUCUCUCUUUGGCCAUUGUCAAGGAAACAUGAAGUUGGUAGUGGAAGGGACUGCCAGAGGGACCAACAGCUCACGACAACAAAAGAGGCCUUGUCAGAAACCACCAUUAAGCUGGGUCAGUUCAGUCACAAGUACUGCUAGCUGCAGGAAGGACUCGGGAUCACGCGCUCACCGGCUUAUAACGUCCUCAGAGUAUUAUUUCAGCUAGUCCUCUCUAGCCUUGUCAGGUAGAGUCACCAUCACACUAUUCACAGAAGAGAAAGGAGAAAUUCAAGUUGCUUUGGUUCAUAAUUUUUCUUCAGUGUUUUCAGACUCUAGUGGUUAGUGGGUAUAGUGUGCCUAUCAGGUUUCAGGUAAGACCCAAGUGCAGACUGUGUUGAGGUAACAAUGUUUAUUGCAACGACAGGUCAAGGCAGGCAAACGACAGGUCAAGGCAGGCAAACGACAGGUCAAGGCAGGCAAACGACAGGUCAAGGCAGGCAAACGACAGGUCAAGGCAGGCAAACGACAGGUCAAGGCAGGCAGGGGUCGAUAAUCCAGAGCAGGGGCCAAGGUACAGGACGGCAGGUAGGCCCAGGGACAAGCAGAGGUCAGCAGUCCAGAGCAGGGGCCAAGGUACAGGACGGCAGGCAGGCUCAGGUCAAGCAGAGGUCAACAGUCCAGAGCAGGGGCCAAGGUACAGGACGGCAGGCAGGCUCAGGUCAAGCAGAGGUCAACAGUCCAGAGCAGGGGCCAAGGUACAGGACGGCAGGCAGGCUCAGGACAGGCAAGGGUCAAAACCAGGAGGACGAGGGAAAAAGAGAGACUGAGGAAAAGCGCUGGUUGACUUAAACAAACAAGACGAACUGGCACAGAUAGACAGAAAACACAGGUAUAAAUACACAGGGGAUAAGUGGGUAAGAUGGGUGACACCUGGAGGGGGAUGGAGACAAGCACAAAGACAGGUGAAACAGAUCAGGGUGUGACAGUAUCCUUACUCCCUUAGAGUUAAUUAGUCCUCUCUCUCUAGCCUUGUCAGGUACAGUCAUACUCCAAACUGUUCACUGAAGAGAAUUUAAACUGUUUCAUCUCUUUUCAGUUAUUUUUGGAUUAGUGUGGCUAGUGAGUUUACACUGAGUGUACAAAACAUUAGGAACACCUGCUCUUUCAAUGAGACUGACCAGGUUAAAGAUAUGAUCCCUUAUUGAUGUCACUUGUUAAAUCCACUUCAAUCAGUGUAGAUGAAGGGGAGGAGACGGGUUAAAGAAGGAUUUUUAAGCCUUGAGACGUGAGACAUGGAUUGUGUAUGUGUGCCAUUCAGAGGGUGAAUGGGAAAGACCAAAUAUUUAAGUGCCUUUGAACAGGGUAUGGUAGUAGGUGUCAGGUGCACCAGUUUGUGUCAAGAACUGCAACACUGCUGGGUUUUUCACGCUCAACAGUUUCAAUCAAUCAAUCAAUCAAUCAAUCAAAUGUAUUUAUAGAGCCCUUUUUACAACAGCAGUUGUCACAAAGUGCUUAUACAGAAACAGGCAUAAAACCCCAGAGAGCAACCAAUGCAGGUGUAGAAGCACGGUGGCUAGGAAAAACUCCCUAGAAAGGCUGGAACCUAAGAAGAAACCUAGAGAGGAACCAGGCUCUGAGGGGGUGGCCAGUCCUCUUCUGGCUGUGCCGGGUGGAGAUUAUAACAGAACAUGGCCAUUUAAGGCCAGAUUGUUCUUCAAGAUUUUCAAACGUUCAUAGAAGACCAGCAGGGUCAAAUAAUAAUCAGUGAUUUUAGAGGGUGCGAGAGGUCAGCACCUUAGGAGUUAAUGUCAGUUGGCUUUUCAUAGCCGAGCAUCCAGAGGCCGAGACAGCAUGUGCAGGGGGGGGUCUAGUGAACAGGUCAGGGUUCCAUAGCCGCAGGCAGAACAGUAGAAAAUGGAGCAGCAGCACGACCAGGUGGACUAGGGACGGGGACAGCCAGGAGUCGUCAUGCCAGGAAGUCCUGAGGCAUGUUCCUAAGGCUCAGGUCCUCCGGGAGGGGAGAGAGAGAGAUGGGAGAAUUAGAGAGAGCAUACUUGCGUUCAUACAGGACACCAGAGAUUUACACCAGAAAAGACAGAAGAUUUACACCGGAUAAGACAGGAGAUUUACACCAGUUAUGAGACUGAACCUAGCCCCCCCCCCCAGCACAUAGACUAUUGCAGCAUAGAUACUGGAGACUGUAUCAAGAAUGGUCCACCACCCAAAGGACAUCCAGCCAUGUUGACAUGACUGUGGGAAGCAAUGGAGUGAACAUGGGCCAUCAUCCUUGUGGAACGCCUUCGACACCUUGUAGAAUUGAGGCUGUUCUGAGGGCAAAAGGGGGGUGCAACUCAAUAUUAGGAAGGUGUUCCUAAUGUUUUGUACACUGUUGUCAUCAUUCGAAAGACUUGCUUUCCACCCACAUGAGAUACCAUAUUUCUGUCAAUAUCCCAUUUUCUCUCUCAUAUUUUCUACUGCAUUACAGUACAGUCCAUGUUACAGUACAGUCCAUGUUACAGUACAGUACAGUCCAUGUUACAGUCCAUGUUACAGUACAGUCCAUGUUACAGUCCAUGUUACAGUUCAUUACAUGUUACAGUCCAUGUUACACCACAGUCCAUGUUACAGUCCAUGUUACACUACAGUCCAUGUUACACUACAGUCCAUGUUACACUUCAGUCCAUGUUACAGUACAGUCCAUGUUACAGUCCAUGUUACACUACAGUCCAUGUUACAGUAUAGUCCAUGUUACAGCCCAUGUUACACUACAGUCCAUGUUACAGUCCAUGUUACAGUACAGUCCAUGUUACACUACAGUCCAUGUUACAGUCCAUGUUACACUACAGUCCAUGUUACAGUCCAUGUUACACUACAGUCCAUGUUACACUUCAGUCCAUGUUACAGUACAGUCCAUGUUACAGUCCAUGUUACACUACAGUCCAUGUUACACUACAGUCCAUAUUACACUACAGUCCAUGUUACACUACAGUCCAUGUUACACUACAGUCCAUGUUACAGUCCAUGUUACACUACAGUCCAUGUUACACUUCAGUCCAUGUUACAGUACAGUCCAUGUUACAGUCCAUGUUACACUACAGUCCAUGUUACACUACAGUCCAUGUUACACUACAGUCCAUGUUACAGUCCAUGUUACAGUCCAUGUUACACUACAGUCCAUGUUACACUACAGUCCAUGUUACACUACAGUCCAUGUUACAGUCCAUGUUACAGUAUAUAAUAACAGUCACAGCAGACUCUGGCAACAUCCCAAAUGGCGCCUUAUUCCCUAUAUAGUGCACUACCUUUGAUCAGAGCCCUACACUACAUAGGGAAUAGGGUGCUAUUUGGGACGCGACAUCUCUUACUCUAUGGGUGAAUAACAGUCUCCGUUAAGCCCUGCGUUAAAAUGUUCUCAUGUUGAGGACCACUAUGGUGGAUUUAUAGGUGAUGGUUCUCCUGUUGAGGACCACUAUGGUGGAUUUAUUGAUGAUGGUUGAGGACCACUAUGGUGGAUUUAUAGGUGAUGGUUGAGGACCACUAUGGUGGAUUUAUAGGUUAUGGUUCUGUUGAGGACCACUAUGGUGGAUUUAUAGGUGAUGGUUGAGGACCACUAUGGUGGAUUUAUAGGUGAUGGUUCUCCUGUUGAGGACCACUAUGGUGGAUUUAUAGGUGAUGGUUGAGGACCACUAUGGUGGAUUUAUAGGUGAUGGUUCUCCUGUUGAGGACCACUAUGGUGGAUUUAUAGGUGAUGGUUCUCCUGUUGAGGACCACUAUGGUGGAUGUAUAGGUGAUAGUUGAGGACCACUAUGGGGGAUGUAUAGGUGAUGGUUGAGGGCCACUAUGGUGGAUUUAUAGGUGAUGGUUCUCCUGUUGAGGACCACUAUGGUGGAUGUAUAGGUGAUAGUUGAGGACCACUAUGGGGGAUGUAUAGGUGAUGGUUGAGGACCACUAUGGUGGAUUUAUAGGUGAUGGUUCUCCUGUUGAGGACCACUAUGGUGGAUUUAUAGGUGAUGGUUCUCCUGUUGAGGACUACUAUGGUGGAUGUAUAGGUGAUGGUUCUCCUGUAUACAUUAGAUAUCUGAUGCCUAUACUGUACCAUUCUGCCCUCCAUGGAACUAAUCAUACGUUAGUAGUGUACGUCCCUGCUGGCACUGAUCAGUGCUGGUUGGUUUCCCCCUCUAGUUAAAAUGGAGGCUGUGUGUUAACGCCUAGAGGGGAUAGUCCAGAAGCACUAGUGUUUUCUGACUGAACAGAGAGGAAAUAGAUCCUCCCUCUAGCUCAGCCCGUCUGAGUCGUCUUUUGGUUUUGUUUUCCUGUUUGAUAAGUGAAAGGACCGGGUCAGAAUCAGGAAUGUUAAGAAAGAGGACAUUUGACGGUAGUGGUGCUAUCGGGGCAGCUCCACUGUAUAGUACAAAUAGUUAAUGAAUGGCUCCCUGUGUUUCUUUUGGGUCAAUUUGAAUAUGUGCUUUUAAUUGGUCUCUGUAGGUCUCUGUCUUCUCUCUCUCUCUCUCUCUCUCUCUCUCUCUCUCUCUCUCUCUCUCUCUCUCUCUCUCUCUCUCUCUGUCUCUGUCUCUGUCUCUGUGUCUGUGUCUCUCUCUCUGUCUUCUUUCUUUCUCCUUGUCUCUUCCCUCUCUCUCUCUCUCUCUCUCUCUCUCACCAUGACUGACUAGCUUCUCUUUCACUCACUCACUCACUCACUCACUCACUCACUCACUCACUCACUCACUCACUCACUCACUCACUCACUCACUCACUCACUCACUCACUCACUCACUCACUCACUCACUCACCACGACUGACUAGCUGCUCUCUCUCUUUCACCAAGACACACACACACACACACACACACACACACACACACACACACACACACAUACAUACAUACAGGUGUAUGGUGCCAGUCUGAUGUAAUGUCAAGCAAUGGAGCAGUGAUAGACACCAAUUAUCAUCCUAGUUAUUCAUUAUUUUCUGUCUUACAACUUAAUACUCUUUUAAUUGAAUGUCUAUUAAUUGAUGUGCUCCUGAGUCCAUACUUGGUAAUAUAAUCCACCAAGGAGAUGUCAAAGACAAAAGUCUUUAUUAUCUUAAGGAGAGGAGUCUACUGAGAUGUUAAAGUCCCCUGCUCAGUCGGUGUAUCUCGUUAUAAAACGGACAUCCUGUCAAAUGAAAAUGACAACGUAUCAUCAUCCGUAUUAAAAAGGGGUAAAGGAAUUGCUAUUAAAUAAUGAACUCAGCCGUGCUCUUGUUGUAAUGUCAGCCUGCUUAUAUAGGGGGUGUGAUUAUGGUAUUUUAUGAAGCGUCUUCUCAACGAGGAGUAAAAACCAAGCUUCAAGGUUAAAUGUGUGAAGGCCAAGCGUUUGGAGGGUGAGGCGGUGCGAGGGGAGGGUUGAUAAAUUUCACAUCCCGUAAUGUGAUUUGCGAUAUCUCCUCUUCUCCUGCCCUUGGUAGUGGGAGAUGUGGCGAGGUAUUAUUAACGACGCUCUGCCGUGUAAGUGUUUACAGAAAUAUUAAACAGAAUCGAUGAGAGAAGGUGUGGAUGAUUACAAAUUCACCAUCAUUCCAGCUUCCCAGCUUGAUGUUUCGUUACUGAAUACAAAUUCACUGGUUAAACCACUGGUGUGCAGUAGUAAAAAUGAGUGUAGAGAGACACCGCAAACACGUGAGGACCAGGAUGGGCGGUAGUUCCAGGAAGACAUCAGAGAGCAUAAUUCAUUCCAGGGCAUUCUAUAAGACCAGGGUGUGUGUGUGUGUGUGUGUGUGUGUGUGUGUGUGUGAGAAGGCUGUUCAUUGACUACAGCUCAGCGUUCAACACCAUAGUGCCCACGAAGCUCAUCACUAAAGUAAGGACCCUGAGACUAAACACCUCCCUCUGCAACUGGAUCCUGGACUUCCUGACGGGCCACCCCCAGGUGGUAAGAGUAGGCAACAACACGUCUGCCACGCUGAUCCUUAACACUGGAGCCCCUCAGGGGUGUGCACUUAGUCCCCUCCUGUAUUCCCUGUUUACCCACGACUGCGUGGCCAAACACGACUCCAACACCAUCAUUAAGUUUGCUGACGACACAAUAGUGGUAGGCCUGAUCACCGACAACGAUGAGACAGCCUAUAGCGAGGAGGUCAGAGACCUGGCAGUGUGGUGCCAGGACAACAACCUCUCCCUCAACGUGAGCAAGACAAAGGAGCUGAUCAUGGACUACAGGAAAAGGCGGGCCGAACAGGCCCCCAUUAACAUCGACGGGGCUGUAGUGGAGCGGGUCGAGAGUUUCAAGUUCCUUGGUGUCCACAUCACCAACAGACUAUCAUGGUCCAAACACACCAAGACAGUCGUGAAGAGGGCACAGCAAAACCUUUUCCCCCUCAGGAGACUGAAAAGAUUUGGCAUGGGUCCCUAGAUCAUCAAAAGUUUCUACAGUUGCACCAUCGAGAGCAUCCUGACCGGUUGCAUCACUGCCUGGUAUGGCAACUGCUCGGCAUCUGAGCAUAAGGCGCUACAGAGGGUAGUGCGAACGGCCUAGUACAUCACUGGGGCCAAGCUUCCUACCAUCCAGGACCUAUAUACCAGGCGGUGUCAGAGGAAGGCCCAUAAAAUUGUCAGAGACUCCAGUCACCCAAGUCAUAGACUGUUCUCUCUGCUACCGCACGGUAAGCGGUUCCGGAGCGCCAAGUCUAGGUCCGAGAGGCUUCUGAACAGCUUCUGCCCCCCCAAGCCAUAAGACUCCUGAACAGCUAAUCAAAUGGCUACCCUGACUAUUUGCAUUCCCCCCCCUCUCCUCCUGUUUUACACCACUGCUCCUCUCUGUUGUUAUCAUCUAUGCAUAGUCACUUUAAUACGUUUACAUACACCUUAGCCAAAUACAUUUAAACUCCGUUUUUCACAAUUCCUGACAUUUAAUCCUAGUAAAGAAUUCCCUGUUUUAGGUCAGUUAGGAUCACCACUUUAUUUUAAGAAUGGCUAGCUACUAGUACUGUUAGCUAGCCAGAUAGCCACAAAUAAUAGUUAGCUAGCCAGCUACCCACAAAGAAUUGGUAUCUACCUUGCAUAACGUUAGUUUUAGGUCAUAUAGUGUACAUAUACUGUAUCUAGCUGAUAGUUAUGAAGUAAUACGUUUGCUUUUUGUAUAUCUUGUUUGGUCUCUAUUGUUGUCAUUGUCCUGGCUGGAAGAAUGUUCAGUGAAUGGAGAGGUGCAGCGUGAGGUAAUACAGUAGGGGGGAGUGCUGCUCAGCGUGAGGUAAUAUAGUAGGGGGAGUGCUGCUCAGCGUGAGGUAAUACAGUAGGGGGAGUGCUGCUCAGCGUGAGGUAAUACAGUAGGGGGAGUGCUGCUCAGCGUGAGGUAAUACAGUAGGGGGAGUGCUGCUCAGCGUGAGAUAAUACAGUAGGGGGAGUGCUGCUCAGCGUGAGGUAAUACAGUAGGGGGAGUGCUGCUCAGCGUGAGGUAAUACAGUAGGGGGAGUGCUGCUCAGCGUGAGGUAAUACAGUAGAGGGAGUGCUGCUCAGCGUGAGGUAAUACAGUAGGGGGAGUGCUGCUCAGCGUGAGGUAAUACAGUAGGGGGAGUGCUGCUCAGCGUGAGAUAAUACAGUAGGGGGAGUGCUGCUCAGCGUGAGGUAAUACAGUAGGGGGAGUGCUGCUCAGCGUGAGGUAAUACAGUAGGGGGGAGUGCUGCUCAGCGUGAGGUAAUACAGUAGAGGGAGUGCUGCUCAGCGUGAGGUAAUACAGUAGGGGGAGUGCUGCUCAGCGUGAGGUAAUACAGUAGGGGGAGUGCUGCUCAGCGUGAGGUAAUACAGUAGGGGGAGUGCUGCUCAGCGUGAGAUAAUACAGUAGGGGGAGUGCUGCUCAAAUGGAAUGUUUUAUGUGCUCUCCACACUCUCAUCCUCAGAAGAAGGUACUCAAGAGAACGUACUCAGAGCAUGAGAGUGUGGAGCGUGGUAGUAUGCAUAUUGAGAAACAGACAGAGAUAGACACAGAGUGUGUGUGUGUGUGUGUGUGUGUGUUACUCUGCUCGACCGUCGUUGAUUACUCAUCUGAAUUAGCCAACAGACUACAGGUCACCUUCCUCAUUGACCGACAUGAUAGAUGAUACAACGUUAGUAGUCUGUAUGCCUGUGUGUCAGUGCAUGAUACUGUGUCCAGCACUGCAUGUCAGAGCUCAGUAAUCCAUGCUACGGUUCAGCUGUGUCCAUGAUGCAGUCUCUGUCUCACACACACACACACACACACACACACACACACACACACACACACACACACACACACACACACACACACACACACACACACUCUGUGUCUAUCUCUGGCUGUUUCUCAAUAUGCAUACUACCACGCUCCACACUCUCAUGCUCUGAGUCUGUCCGGCUCCAUAGGGUAGCACAGAGUGUGUGUGUGUGUGUGCGCGUGUGUGUACAGUAGGGAUGGGUUUUUGAAAUAAUUUCACUAUUCGAAUAGUAUCAUGAAUUUUUGUUGGAUACCUGAAAUACAUGUGUUUUUGUAAACAUACGAUUUUUAACCUGAGCACUGCUGCGCGAGGAAAUGAGGCUGGCGUUCGAUUGUUGCAGCUGUGGAGGGGAUGGUAUGUGAGAUGGGAGCGAGCAGACGGAGGGAGAGAGGGAGCAGUAGCCAAAGCAACUCGGCUACAGCCAAAACUAGAUAACUUGCAGCAGCCAACUAGCUAGCUAGGCUAUUUGAGGCUACAGCCAAGACUAGCUAACUUGCAACAGCCAACUAGCUAGCUAGGCUAAUUGAGGCUACAGCCAAGACUAGCUAACUUGCAGCAGCCAACUAGCUAGCUAGGCUAAUUGAGGCUACAGCCAAGACUAGCUUACUUGCAGCAGCCAACUAGCUAGCUAGGCUAAUUGAGGCUACAGACAAGACUAGCUAACUUGCAGCAGCCAACUAGCUAGCUAGGCUAAUUGAGGCUACAGCCAAGACUAGCUAACUUCCAGCAGCCAACUAGCUAGCUAGGCUAAUUGAGGCUACAUGCUGUGCUUUCUCCAUAACCCCAUUCAGAUAAAACCACAGCCUACCUCGUCGUAGUCUACUCCUUCUCAUUUCACUAACUUUUAAAUCAAUAAUUUAAUUACAUCUUGCAUUGUGUUAGAGAACUCUCACUCCUCUUGGUACACAUUGAGCCUCUUUGUCACUUUGAUUUGCCAACAUAAACAAGCUAUACACGUGACGGCUACAAGUCUUUGUUAGGGGGCGCAGGGCUCCCGAGUGGGGCAGUGGUCUAAGGCACUGCAUCUCAGUACUAGAGGCAUCACUACAGACACACCCUGGUUCGAAUCCAGGUUGUAUCACCACCGGCCGUGAUUGGGAGUCCCAUAGGGCGUCGUCCGGGUUUGACUGGUGUAGGCUGUCAUUGUAAAUAAGAAUUUGUUCUUAACUGACUUGCCUAGUUAAAUGAAGGUCAAAUAAAUAAAUAUAUACUGUAUUUAUAGUCCACAUAUUCUAAGUCAGAACAGUCCAGAGCAGUUAAUCUAGUCGGGCAGGCGGGUGUGGGCAGCGAUUGGUUCAAGAGCAUGCAUUUCGUUUUACUUGCAUUUAAGAGCAGUUGGAUACCACGGAAGGAGUGUUGUAUGGCAUUGAAGCUCGUUUGGAGGUUUGUUAGCACAGUGUCCAAAGAAGGGCCAGAUGUAUACAUUAUGGUGACGUCUGCGUAGAGGUGGAUCAAAGAAUCACCCGCACCAAGAGCGACAUCAUUGAUAUAUACAGAGAAGAGAGUCGGCCCGAGAAUUGAACCCUGUGGCACCCCCAUAGAGACUGCCAGAGGUCCAGACAACAGGCCCUCCGAUUUGACACACUGAACUCUGUCUGAGAAGUAGAUAUGAACCACGUGAGGCAGUCAUUUGAGACACCAAGGCUGUUGAGUCUCCUGCUAAGAGUACAGUGAUUGAUAGAGUCGAAAGCCUUGGCCAGGUCGAUGAAGACAGCUGCACAGUACUGUCUUUUAUCGAUGGCGGUUAUGAUAAGGUUUAGGACCUUGAGUAUGGCUGAGGUGCACCCGUGACCAGCUCGGAAACCAGAUUGCAUAGCGGAGAAGGUACGAUGGGAUUCGAAAUGGUCGGUGAUCUGUUUGUUCACUUGGCUUUCGAAGACAUUUGAAAGGCAGGGCAGGAUGAAUAUAGGUCUGUAACAGUUUGGGUCUAGAGUGUCUCCCCUUUGAAGAGGGGGAUGACCGCGGCCGCUUUCCAAUCUUUAUGAAUCUCAGACGGUACGAAAGAGAGGUUGAACAGACUAGUAAUAGGGGUUGCAACAAUGGCGGCGGAUACUUUUAGGAAGAGAGGGUCCAGAUUGUCUAGCCCAGCUGAUUUUUAGGGGUCCAGGUUUUACAGCUCUUUAAGAACAUUUGCUAUCUGGAUUUGGGUGAAGGAGAAGCAGGGGGGGCUUGGGCCAGUAGCUACGGGGGAUGCAGGGCUGUUGGCCGGGGUUGGGGUAGCCAGGUGGAAAGCAUGGCCAGCCGUAGAGAAAUGCUUAUUGAAAUUCUCAAUUAUCAUGGAUUUAUCAGUGGUGACAGUGUUUCCUAUCCUCAGUGCAGUGGGCAGCUGGGAGGAGGUGCUCUUAUGCUCCAUGGACUUUACAGUGUCCCAAAACUUUUGGGAAUUAGUGCUGCAGGAUGCAAAUUUCUGUUUGGAAAAGCUAGCCUUUGCUUUCCUAACUGACUGUGUGUAUUGGUUCCUGACUUCCCUGAAAAGUUUAAUAUUGCGGGGACUAUUAGAAGCUAGUGCAGUACGCCACAGGAUGUUUUUGUGCUGGUGAAGGGCAGUCAAGUCUGGAGUGAACUAAGGGCUAUAUCUGUUCUUAGUUCUACAUUUUUGCUUAUUUAAGAUGGUGAGGAAAGCACUUUUAAAGAACAACCAGGCAUCCUCAACUGACGGGAUGAGGUCAAUAUCCAGUUUGAUUAGAAAGGCCUUCUCGCUGAAUUAUUUUAGGGAGCGUUUGACAGUGAUGAGGGGUGGUCGUUUGACCGCGGACCCAUAACGGAUGCAGGCAAUGAGGGAGUGAUCACUGAGAUCCUGGUUGAAAACAGCAGAGGUGUAUUUAGAGGGCAAGUUGGUCAGGAUGAUAUCUAUGAGGGUGCCCAUGGUUUCGGAUUUGGGGUUGUACCUGGUGGGUUCCUUGAUAAUUUGUGUGAGAUUGAGGGCAUCUAGUUUAGAUUGUAGGAUGGCUGGGGUGUUAAGCAUAUCCCAAUUUAGGUCACCUAGCAGUACGAAUUCUGACGAUAGAUGAGGGGGCAAUCAAUUCACAAAUGGUGUCCAGGGCACAGCUGGGAGCUGAGGCGGGUCUAUAACAAGCGGCAACAGUGAGGGACUUAUUUCUGGAGAGAUGGAUCUUUAAAAGUAGAAGCUCGAACUGUUUGGGCAUAGACCUGGAUAGUAUGACAGAACUCUGCAGGCUAUCUCUGCAGUAGAUUGCAACUCCACCCCCUUUAGCAGUUCUGUCUUGACGGAAAAUGUUGUAAUUGGGGAUGGAAAUUUGAGGAUUUUAGGUUGCCUUCCUAAGCCAGGAUUCCGAAACGUUUAGGACAUCAGGGUUGGCAGAGUGUGCUAAAGCAGUGAAUAAAACAAACUUAGGGAGGAGACUUCUGAUGUUAACAUGCAUGAACCCAAGGCUUAAACUCCAGAGGUGAGGUCUAAUGGCAGCAGAACUACAGUAAACCCCAGAGGGGAGGUCUAAUGGCAGCAGAACUACAGUAAACCCCAGAGGUGAGGUCUAAUGGCAGCAGAACUACAGUAAACCCCAGAGGGGAGGUCUAAUGGCAGCAGAACUACAGUAAACCCCAGAGGGGAGGUCUAAUGGCAGCAGAACUACAGUAAACCCCAGAGGUGAGGUCUAAUGGCAGCAGAACUACAGUAAACCCCAGAGGUGAGGUCUCAUGGCAGCAGAACUACAGUAAACCCCAGAGGUGAGGUCUAAUGGCAGCAGAACUACAGUAAACCCCAGAGGUGAGGUCUAAUGGCAGCAGAACUACAGUAAACCCCAGAGGGGAGAUCUAAUGGCAGCAGAAAUACAGUAAACCCCAGAGGUGAGGUCUAAUGGCAGCAGAACUACAGUAAACCCCAGAGAUCCAGAGGUGAGGUCUAAUGGCGGUGGGAGGAGAAUUAGUUUGUUGUAACUUGGCAAGAUGAUUGGCUAUGGUGUGACAUUAACCUCCUCCUGGAUGCUAAUGAAACCAGUUAUGUCCUUGGAGAGUUAUGGAGGAUUAUUUCUCAACCCUCAAUAUCUUCUUUUCUCCUCCCUUCUUCUCCCUCCUCUUCACCCUCUUUUCCUUUCCUCCCUCUCCUCUCCUCUCCUCCCCCUCAUCUCCUCUCCUCCCCCUCAUCUCCUCUCCUCCCCCCUCAUCUCCUCUCCUCCCCCCUCAUCUCCUCUCCUCUCCUCCCCCCUCAUCUCCUCUCCUCCCUCCCCUCCUCCUCUCCUCUCCUCCCUCCCCCUCAUCUCCUCUCCUCUCCUCCCUUCUCUCCCCUUUUCUCCUGUCCUCCAAUAACAGUAUAGCUCUCCGCCAGAUGCCCAAUACAGGAAGUGGCUCAAAGACACAUACACACCAGCUACCAGACACAGACAUGUUAGUCACCUUGUAGGUUUGUUUUCAACCUGAGGGGAGAGUUCUACAUCAUACUAUCAUACCUUCAACCUGAGGGGAAAGUUCUACAUCAUACCUUCAACCUGAGGGGAGAGUUCUACAUCAUACUAUCAUACCUUCAACCUGAGGGGAGAGUUCUACAUCAUACUAUCGUACCUUCAACCUGAGGGGAGAGUUCUACAUCAUACUAUCAUACCUUCAACCUGAGGGGAGAGUUCUACAUCAUACUAUCAUACCUUCAACCUGAGGGGAGAGUUCUACAUCAUACUAUCAUACCUUCAACCUGAGGGGAG
rnacentral:lncRNA from 1 species